UAGGAACCUAGCUGAAGCUGCUUUCUAUAGACUAAGACAUUUAACCGAAAACCUAUUGGAGAGUUUAAUGUUUGUACAGCUGCUAAUUUCUAUUAUGAAAAUAUUAUUUUUCACUUUCACAAUAGGUUUUAAUUUUUAAAAAUCGCCCUUGCAUGAGCAGGUGGAGCUCAGGGAUUCUGGAGCCCUUAUUUUGACUUUUGGCUUUUAGAUAAAUGCAGCUUAAAACAGGUUGGAAGUGAUACAAAAAUAGAAGGUAGUGAGAUGUCACCGUGACUAUGAUUGUGGUGACAAUUAGAGGACUAACGAUACAAAAGACACAUUAUCUUUACGACUUAUGAUCCUCCUGGACCAAACCCAACAUCUUAAAAUGCAACAUUUCAGUACCAUCUGGGAGAUUUGCCCAACCAAAUUAUGCAUAAACAAAGUUCUUUAUUGACUCGCUGGGAUGCAAGUGGAAUCAAUUAUACGUUGGUGUUGUCUUUGACGGCCUGCAAAGCCUACGGCAGCUAAAGACCCACAUCCCAGGAAUCAUCCCAGGGUAAUUUCCCGCUGGGGCUACGUUUGUGUGGAAAUACGACAUUGCCGGUAUCUGCGGCUCAGAGUUUUUGAUGCUCUUCAGAGAGCCACUCUAUCCAUUUUCCUUGAGACCCCCGUGAGCCCGACCAGGUUCAUUGAAUUUGGCAUCAAAUCUUGCCCUGGAGACUUCAGAUCCCGGGUGUGUGUGGUGGGCAUGGGUGAAAGGGAGGCGGGUUCCGCUGGUUUCAGUUCCAUUAUUUUCACCUGUGCACCCUCGACCUCAAACAUCUAAGGUAUUUUGCAACGUAAGUGAAAGAUUGUACUGAGCUGUGUGUCCCUGCAGGAAAAAUCACUCGAUUGCAGAAAUGUGCCCCAAACCCCUCUCUCAAGCCCUGCGGGCCUAGAAUAUGCAUUCUGUUCUGCGCAUGGUUAGCUCAGCUCAGGAGGGAAGAGGCUCUGAAAGGGUCCACCGACAAUUAAAAUAUGCCGACAGUCCUCGUCUUGAGAACGCAACGGUGCCACGGAGGAGACGGCUGUUUGUGUUGAUGGAUCAGAGAGGACCAACACGCUUGUCAAAGGAGGGGGUUUUGGGAAAUCACGGAUCCUAGAUUCUCUGACCUUUGAGGAGGUGAGGCUGACCCCUGAAGAGAAAUCCUCUUUCUCUUCCUCUCACGCUCUUUUCUGCCAGGUGGAGGACCUACAGGGAGAACCAUGGAAGCAAAAAGAAAGAAGCAGAAAAGCACGGAUGCUGCUGGGGAAUGACAAGAUGCCAGGAAGUAAGGCCGAGCGGCAGGUGGAUGCCUGG